AUUGAACGCUGGCGGCAUGCCUUACACAUGCAAGUCGAACGGCAGCACGGGAGCAAUCCUGGUGGCGAGUGGCGAACGGGUGAGUAAUAUAUCGGAACGUGCCCAGUCGUGGGGGAUAACGCAGCGAAAGCUGUGCUAAUACCGCAUACGAUCUAAGGAUGAAAGCGGGGGAUCGCAAGACCUCGCGCGAUUGGAGCGGCCGAUAUCAGAUUAGCUAGUUGGUGGGGGAAAGGUCCACCAAGGCGACGAUCUGUAGCUGGUCUGAGAGGACGACCAGCCCAACUGGAACGGAGACAAGGUCCAGACUCCUACGGGAGGCAGCAGUGGGGAAUUUUGGACAAUGGGCGCAAGCCUGAUCCAGCAAUGCCGCGUGCAGGAUGAAGGCCUUCGGGUUGUAAACUGCUUUUGUACGGAACGAAACGGCCCUUUCUAAUACAGGGGGCUAAUGACGGUACCGUAAGAAUAAGCACCGGCUAACUACGUGCCAGCCGCCGCCGUAAAAC
rnacentral:rRNA from 1 species